GACGAACGCUGGCGGCGUGCCUAAUACAUGCAAGUAGAACGCUGAAGGAGGAGCUUGCUUCUCCGGAUGAGUUGCGAACGGGUGAGUAACGCGUAGGUAACCUGCCUGGUAGCGGGGGAUAACUAUUGGAAACGAUAGCUAAUACCGCAUAAGAGUAGAUGUCGCAUGACAUUUGCUUAAAAGGUGCAACUGCACCACUACCAGAUGGACCUGCGUUGUAUUAGCUAGUUGGUGAGGUAACGGCUCACCAAGGCAACGAUACAUAGCCGACCUGAGAGGGUGAUCGGCCACACUGGGACUGAGACACGGCCCAGACUCCUACGGGAGGCAGCAGUAGGGAAUCUUCGGCAAUGGACGGAAGGCUGACCGAGCAACGCCGCGUGAGUGAAGAAGGUUUUCGGAUCGUAAAGCUCUGUUGUAAGAGAAGAACGAGUGUGAGAGUGGAAAGUUCACACUGUGACGGUAUCUUACCAGAAAGGGACGGCUAACUACGUG
rnacentral:rRNA from 1 species